AAAAUCUUUGCAAUUACGUUUGCCUGUUCCUCUCUAGAGAACAGACCAGAAUACGCCUCUGCAGGCAGGCUGUUAACCAAAACAGUGAGAGAACUCAAGAGUCCCUGAGCCAAGCAUAUUGAGUUCAUUGUGUAAAACUCCUCUUAUGAUGAAAGAAAGAUUAAAUUUUUGCUAAAGGCAGCUUACAAAUAUAUUGAAUGUUGAUAUUUCAGAGCUUAGAGAAUGAUUAAAAACUUCUCUAAAGACAAAACAUAAAUCUAAUUGUGGUACAGUUGUAGAAUUCCUCCUUACUCAGCUCUAUUCAGUUCCCAUGCUAUUUCAAGAAAAUUUCUAUUAAAGAAAAGAAUUUGUUUAUUAGUUCUAAUAGUUUUUUUAUUUGUGGAGUUGUUAAGUUUCGGGGUUUCACCAUGUUAGUCAAGCUGGUCU
rnacentral:lncRNA from 1 species